CACGGAUGCUGCCCGACCUGCAGAGUUCCUCCAGAGUGUUGUGAGUGUUACUUUGACCCCAGCAUCUGCAGAUUAUUUUGUGUUUGGAAUCUGCCGGAGGAGCCUGGGCUGCUGCUGCACUGCCAACUCCUUUCGCGGAAUGGAGGCUUUGGAGGAGAUUACCUGCUCUCAGCCGUGGGAGCUCUGUGAGACCCUCGCUGACUGUUUCCUCACUGUCAGUUAGAUUUAGAUGAAUUUAUCACAUGUACAUUGAAACAUACAGUAAAAUGUGUCGAUUGCCUGAACAACCAGAGCACUUCAGAGUGUGCUGGAACAGCCCGGAAGUGUCGCCCAACAUUCCAGCGCUGAGAUGGCACGUUCACCAUGUUCAGCUUCAGCAGAUUAAUGACUGCUCCAGUGACAGUAACAAAGAAGAUUAGGAUCUCUCCCGUAAACUGGAUCUACUCGCUCACUCAAGCUGCAAUGGAUUUUUCCAGCGUAGAGGAGACCACGAUGUGAUCACCGAAUGUGGUGGACUAGAUUGGAAAAAUGUACGACCGAAUCACUGAUUCAUCUGAAAGAAAAGUACAGGUCCCUGAACUGGGAGCAGGAUGAGAUCUCGCCGAAGCCUGUUGAGACAAAGCCUUACCACUCGGACUCAGACCACUCCAACGGUGACUGUUCUGCUAGACGAUACCUCUCUUUUAUGGAGACUGGGUUUUUCAAGCUCUGCUCCGGACCUGCGUGAGACUGUUUCUACUACAUCUGCAACCACUAUCCAAUCUUAUGGUCUAAUACUCAUAAUAUGGAGAGUGCACGGUUCAUCCAAAUCAAUUUGCCUGAUUGGCUUCUGGACAUCGAUAUCAUCAACCAAUCCUUGCAGACCGGUCUUUGUGAUUGGCUCCAAGAUGAUGACAUCGCCGACUUAGUUGAUCAACUCCUUGGCUGUGAUUGGUCCCAAAACUCCGUCAUUUCCAACGGUUCUGCAGUAAUGGCUCCUGCGAUUGACUCUGGGUUGUCCCCACAGCGACGGUGAUUUUGCUCCAGAGCUCUGAUGUUAUUAUGCAGCCUGACCAGUUUCAACCCUGUGAUAGGCUCCACCAUUGGUUCCUGGGCCACCUUGCUGUCGGUUGGCUAAUUGCGUGACCCAGCGACACUUGCCUGUCACGCAUGGGUGGUUCUCCAUUAACAGCAUCAGUUAUUGGCUGCAGUGGACUGCUAUCAUCCAUGAACUAACCUCCAUCACAUUCACUGAUUGGCUUCUAUCCAAUAUCCCUGCUGAUCCCCACUGGGUGACCUCAUUGGCUGACACAUCAUUGGAUUUCAGUAAAUAGCUUCGUACCGUGACACCGAUGAGUUGAUCACAAUACCAAUGCAACAGACCCAAUUGGCCAAUUGAUUGACACCAGAACAUCAGCUAUAAUUGGCUUGUCAAAUAAUUUUACUGUGGUUAUUGUAAUUGGAUUCUCCAGUGACAACACCGAUUAGUUCACUGAACAAUUCAACUAAGGGGGUACUGACUGGCUCUUCCAAUGACAUAAGUACAACAGCACCAGUUGGGUCCCUUAGUGAGUCAAGCACGACACCACUGUUGGCUCAUCCAGUGGGACAGCCUUGACUCAGCCAAUUAGCUGGUUCAACAACUCAGUUCAGACCAUGCUGAUUGUCUUCUUAAAUGAUCAGCGGCCGACCAAACCUGGAGCACCCCCCACUGGCAUAACCAGUGACGCCAUCUCUUCGGCCCCUACUCCAAUCCUGCCCUCCGUCCUCUCCUCCCUUCCCUCGCAUUCACUCUGCCCUCUGUCUUGGCAGUUUGUGCUGUCACUGCCUGGGUCCUCCAGUGAGUGAAUAUCUCCCUCCUCCUCUCCCACCCCUAACCCUAUCUUCCCCCACACAUUCUUCCCCAAACACACACCCCCUCCCCUCUCCCUUUCCCCGCUCCAUCCCCAACCCUCCUCUUACACCCUUCCCCCAUCCGCCACCACCACCCCAUUCACUUACCCCUCUGGGACCUUGUGAGGGAGCCCUCCUUCCCAUUCCUCCUCACUUCCUCCCCCCCUCCAGGACCUUGUGAGGGAGCCUUCCCUCCAUUCUCCUCCCUCUUACUCCUCACUCCAUCUCCCAUUACCCACCCCCACCGCACCCCUUCCCCAUCGCCCUUCCCUGCCCUCUCACCCUUCCUCUGCCUUUCUAUGCCCAUCCACUCCUCCUCCCCUAUCCCUCUCCAUCCCUAUUCCCCUCCCCUUACCCUCACUCUUCUCUCCCUCCCCCAGUCCCCUUCUCCUCCUCUCCCCACAACCACCAAGUGCACAACAGCUCCCCCACGCACUGCAACCCCUGCGCAUAUUGCAUCUCUUCCAUGCACAAUGACCCCUGCACACACAGCGCACACCACAAACCCCCACCUGCACAACAAGCUCCCCGUGUGUACCGCAACUCCCGCUCUGCUCACUGCACACCACCACGAUACAGCAACCUCCACGCACAUUGGAACACUCGCACACACCACAAACUACAGCAAUCCCCCACAUACACCACAACCCCUAGCACACAGUACAGCCACUCUACCCACAUCACAUCUCCUACGUACACCGCAAUCCUUGCUCACUCCCUCCACAUGGACUGCAGCCUCUGUGUACACACCAGAUGUGAUGCACUGCAAGCCCCACAUGAAAGGCAACCCAUGCACACACCUGAAUCCAUAUGCACACUAUGCCAAUGCACACCCCAAUCCCACACACACUCCACAACCCCUGUGCACACUGUAACCGCCGAGUGAACCACAACUGCCACGUGCACUGCAUCCCCCUACACGCACUUCAAUCCUCAUGCACACUGCACUCCCCCGUGUGCACCAAACCCCCUACGCAUACCACAACCCUAAUGAGCACUGCAAAUCUUGUACCAACUGGACACCCUUCCCCAUUACUCAUUGUUCACUUCCCCGCUGUCCCUUCCUCUGUCCAAUUCUAACCCCCUUGUGUCCCCUCCCUGCUCGUCUUCACCUCACCAUGCCCUUCUUCCUUUCUCCAUUUCUAACACCCUCCUCCACUCCCCAUCCCCACCAGUACACACUCCUCCUCCCCUCCCCCUUCACACACACCCACAAACACCCAAACAGUUGGGGAGGGGUGAGAGCAGGAGGGGGAGUAAGGAGGAAGCAUGAGGGAGGGGUAACAGGAAGUAAGAGGGAGGAGGAGAUAUGGGAGAGGAGGCCAGGGGAAAGCAAAGAGGGCUGCCUCAUGAGGUCCCAGAUCUCCCCCCACCCCCUCCCCCUUUGGGAGGGCUCCCACACAAGCAUCCCCCACUCUCUCCCCCUUCCCGUCUGGAAUUGACUCCAUUCGAUUCCCAAGACUGGGGGUGAGUGUUGAGUUGCCAUGCCUGCAAGAAAAUGAAUUAUUGGAUAGUAUAUGCUUAAAAUCCUUUGAUAAUAAAUUUACUUUGAACUUCAAAUUUGAAAUGUAUUGUUUGUAAAAUAUGUUCUGAUGAGAA